UCCCUUGUGGUCCAGUGGCUAAGACUCUGUACUCCCAAUACAGAGGGCCCGUGUUCAAUUCCCGGUCAGGGAA